rnacentral:lncRNA from 1 species
UGUUAGCAUCCAUUGUACUUCAUGAGAUUUUUUUUCAGAAAAAGUCCUCUAUGUGUGAUGUAAGGAGCUGCUGGGCGAGGGUUGGAGGGGUAGAAUCAUUGCCUGGAGGAGAACUGGCCUGCCAAAGGACUUCAUGGUUGCUUUGGCUUGCCCUAGAUGGAUCAGGAGGAUACUUCAGCCCAAUGCUGGCACUUCCAAGGGCUGGAAGACAAAAGCCAUAACUCUGGUGCUGAGUUUUAGACUUAGUUUAGCUAGUGUCCCUGGCUUCAGAAAACCUAGGUCUGAUCCAUCUGUUUGGGCUCUAAAUCCACAUGGCAAAGACAUCAUUCCUUAAUCACCAGCCUUUGAUUUCAACUUGCUCAGGCACUCUUGAAGAAUGUUGGAUAGCCGCAGUAGCUAUUGUUAUACUGAGCACUGUGUCAGGCUUCUUACCACCAAAGAGCCCCGUCGCACAGGCCACAGAGACCAAAUACAUUGCUUUGUAGAGCCAGGGGCAAGUAUGAGCUUAGUGAAAGCUGAGGGGAGCAAUAAAUUUAAAAAAAAAGUUAAAA